rnacentral:rRNA from 1 species
AUUGAACGCUGGCGGCAGGCCUAACACAUGCAAGUCGAGCGGAUGAAGGGAGCUUGCUCCUGGAUUCAGCGGCGGACGGGUGAGUAAUGCCUAGGAAUCUGCCUGGUAGUGGGGGAUAACGUCCGGAAACGGGCGCUAAUACCGCAUACGUCCUGAGGGAGAAAGUGGGGGAUCUUCGGACCUCACGCUAUCAGAUGAGCCUAGGUCGGAUUAGCUAGUUGGUGGGGUAAAGGCCUACCAAGGCGACGAUCCGUAACUGGUCUGAGAGGAUGAUCAGUCACACUGGAACUGAGACACGGUCCAGACUCCUACGGGAGGCAGCAGUGGGGAAUAUUGGACAAUGGGCGAAAGCAUGAUCCAGCCAUGCCGCGUGUGUGAAGAAGGUCUUCGGAUUGUAAAGAACUUUAAGUUGGGAGGAAGGGCAGUAAGUUAAUACCUUGCUGUUUUGACGUUACCAACAGAAUAAGCACCGGCUAACUUCGUG